GACGUGAUUGAAGUUGUAACCGAUGAAAUGCCUGCUGGUGAAGCUAUUAUGGAUCCAACUCACCACCUAAUUGGCGACAAAGGGGCGACAGACCAAAGUCUCGGAUUCCUCGAGCAACAUAUGUAGUGUUGUCAGUCGAUGUGAAUCCGUCUACUCCUAGGCAACAACAGAGGGGUGAUUGGGAUACUGAAAGCCAGUGUAUGGAGGCUUAGUGGAGUCAGUCACCAGCCUCUUCGUUGUUUAAACAACAACAUCAAGCGGCGCCAGAAACAUGUCAGUUACUUUCAUCUUGGGCAUAGCCAACUUUGUUGGUGGACUUCCUCUCAUUUUUCACAAUAUUGCUGAUCCGAGAGACAGCGGAGUCAUGAACGAGGACAAAUGAGAAGGUCGGCCACUACUGACUCAAGCUUGGAUGUGGUUGAAAGCCCGGCUCCACAUGGUUCUACCACUGCUCUCACACAUGGUGUUCGGGCUACUUCCACCAGUGCUCUGCGGGUUGUCGUUCCGCGAGAGUAACGACAGGGAGAACAAGAUGAUGGACGUCACCAGUGCUUCGCUUGCCUGCAUCGCUCUGCUAGCGCUCGGGAAGGUUAUGGCCACAAAAGAGCCAUGACAUACUUCAAGACUCUCAUUUACUACCUUACCAUCGUUGUGAGCUUGUCCGGAAUGUCGUACAUCGCCGGUGUACUGGUCAUGAGGCUUCUAGGACACUUGACACCAUCGAUCAAGGUGGUGCAUCGGCUCCUCAUGCUUCUCCAGGCCUGUUGUUCUCUCAUUUAGGUGGUGCGCAUACGUCUGCCUAGGCCUCAUUAUGAAGUCUCAAGUUCCUCGGAGCACUGAUGGUAUAAAAAGAGAAGACAUGGGUGAGUUGAAGAGAAAGUGCAUGAAGAAACAUCUGAAUCUUUUUGAGUUGCUACCUGCUAUUUUGUUGUAAUUCUGGUGUACAUUUUAAGUUGCUAACAUUUCAUGUCCAAAUGUGCGAUCUUGGU